AACUUUUUUUAUGUGCAUAUUUGUACUAAGGUAAGUUAGGUUUAUUCGAACUAUUUUUGGUCUCAGAAUAUGUGAUUUCAUUUAUGACCUGUAUUUUCGUUACACCCUGUAUAAAAAGAUUGUUUCCACGGACAUUUUUAAAAUUAUUCUAAAUGUUUAUAAACUACAAAAUUUCUAAAAUUUGGCAUUGGGAUUUUUGACUAUAUUAAUUAUAUUUUUAUCUUUUUUUAAUAUAUUUUGAUACUAUCACUCUUCUACUUUCAUUUGUCAUACUCAGAAUUGCCCUAUCUUCAUUAUUUUCUGUCUUAUCUUAUUGAAAAGUAAAGAUCUCUGGGAUAAACAAAUAAAAUAAUUCUUAAACUAAUUAAUGGAUCGGUCUCAAAUUUUGAAGGUAUAUUAAGUACGCCAAUAGCCAACUUUGGGUGAAACACUAAAGUUCUAAGGUAGUUUUAGUAAAAGUUAUUAACAAAUAACGAUUUUCACUUAUUUUGCAGUUUGCGUAGCAACAAAUUAACUUUCUAACUUUAAAAAAUCGGCAUGUUGAAGGUUUUUCAAUGUUCUAAAAAACUGAAUUUUGUAAUUUCAUGUCAACUAUUUAGCUUUUGAAUGGAGUGCAAAAAUCGAAAGAAUUGCGAUUUUUGCACUAAAUUGUUAUUAACUAAAAAACGGACGCGAACUCUAGGCAGGAAACAGAUAGGUUUUCUUCCUGUAUGUCUACAAUAACUGAAAAAGUAGUCAGCUACCUGGAUCUUUAAAUGUUCCGAGAAAAUCCUUAUUACUCUGGACUAUAACGCUGACUGAUAAUUAGAAAGUCUAUUACACAUUAAUAACGGAAUUUUGUAAGAAAGUUAAUUAAUAUCCAGGAAAAUAAAACUUAUUUAAAGUAUCUUUUAUUAUUACAAUAGUUUUAGUUUACUGGACUUAUGUAGAUAAAAAAAUAGUUUCUUAAUAAUAUUAAAUACACAUUUUGUAUUUAACUAAACUGUUUCAGAGCUAAAUUAGUGCACGCACUGACGAUAGACGAAGAGGUAAACAUUGGUGUAGUUAAUUUUAUGUUAGGUACUGUUAGGUAUAUGUAAAUUAUAUGUUCUGUGAUAAUAUAUUAUUAUUAUUAAAUUAACUGUAUUACAUAAUUAUGUAAAUUAACUGUAUAUUCAUAUUUUAAUUUUUUAAAAACUUUCAAAUUGAUUUUUAGUAAAUUUCCGAGCAUUUUUCUGAUAUUUUUCUCCAGUAGCCCAUUCCACAAUCAAAGUUAUACUGUUUUUGAUUUAUAUUUGAAAUAUGUUAAAAUUUGUAUUUAAUGUAGAAACCUAAUCGAAUAGAAUACGCAUCAUUGUUAUAAAAUCAAUACAAUAAAUAAUACUAAAAUCAAUAA